rnacentral:tRNA from 2 species
GCCGGGUUGGCGGAAUGGUAGACGCGGCGCACUCAAAAUGCGCUGUCCGCGAGGGCGUGCGGGUUCGAGUCCCGCACCCGGCACCA